CGUCGAUCCACUUUUUAAAAGCGUCGUUCGACUUGAAAACUCAACGGUGAAACUGUCAAGCUCGCACUUGUGUCGCACACCACAUAAACAUCCCCCGCGACGGUUCUUAUCCGGUUCAUUGGGAAGUCUUUCCGGUUGCUGCCAAACUGUGAUUCGACAAACUGUCGCUGGUGUCCACAAUGUAAGGACGGUUUCUCCAGGUCGCUGUUGGGCGUCAAUUUACAACCCCGACAUCUUCCUCGCAGACGUCGGACGGGUUCGUGCGCUCACGUCCGCUCCGCCGCCGUCGCGCUCGACACUUCAGCGGCUCCCGAAUGUCGUCGGCGAUCUUGCGUCCGACUUGAGUUCGUUCAUCCCUAAAAUGUCAUCGCAACUUUUACUGCCCAAUAAAUGAUUCAACUGGACUCGUGUUUUCGUCCUGAGUCUGGCCCGUCCGUCUUCAUUUGGAGCCUUUCGGGCAUCGCGGACGGCUCUUCAAAAGCCGCUUUGAGUCUCGAGAGUAGAUGUUAAGCAACAGACAUGAAAUCACAAAGUAAACCAAGACGAAGUCUGACGACAUCAAGAAGUCUCCUCGUCGCCGCCCGGUGAAGUGGUCGGCCGUUGGGACGAGAGCUUGGACCGGUGUCCGGACCCAAGACAAACAUCACGAGGAAGACUGGCGACUUGUUUUCUGGGCCUUUGAGGACUGACUGAUGGCUGAGUGACCGGGAAGCCGAUCGGGUUCCUCAGCAACUCUGGAAGGAGGAGGAAGAACAAACUCAAUCACAUGAGACGUUUCGAAGAGUC